rnacentral:rRNA from 1 species
CCUACGGGUGGCAGCAGUGAGGAAUAUUGGUCAAUGGGCGGGAGCCUGAACCAGCCAAGUCGCGUGAGUGAAGACGGUCCUCUGGAUUGUAAACCUCGUUAGUCGGGGAGCAAUGCCGGGCACGUGUGCCCGGAGGGAGAGUACCCGCAGAAUAAGCAUCGGCUAACUCCGUGCCAGCAGCCGCGGUAAUACGGAGGAUGCGGGCUUUAUCCGGAUUUAUUGGGUUUGAGGGGUGCGUAGGCGGAUUUUUAAGUCAGUGGUAAAAGGUCCGGGCUCAACCCGGGCCGGCCGUUGAAACUGGGGAUCUUGAGUGGGCGAGAAGUAUGCGGAAUGCGAGGUGUAGCGGUGAAAUGCAUAGAGAUCACGCGGAACUCCGAUUGCGAAGGCAGCAUACCGGCGCCCGACUGACGCUGAGGCACGAAAGCGUGGGGAUCGAACAGGAUUAGAUACCCUUGUAGUC